rnacentral:rRNA from 1 species
GCGCGAAACCUUUACAAUGCACGAAAGUGUGAUAAGGGGAUUCCAAGUGCUUACCUUCUGGGUGAGCUUUUGUUAAGCUUAAAAACCUUAACGAAUAAGUGGUGGGUAAGACCGGUGCCAGCAGCCGCGGUAACACCGGCGCCACGAGUGGCGAUCGUAGUUAUUGGGUCUAAAGCGUCUGUAGUCGACUAAGAAAGUCCCUUGUGAAAUUGUUAGGCUUAACUUAACAACGUGCAAAGGAUACUUCUUGAUUAGGGACCGGGAGGAGGCAAAGGUAUUCCUUGGGAAGCGGUAAAAUGUUUUAAUCCUUGGAAGACCACCUAUGGCGAAGGCAUUUGUCUAGAACGGGUCCGACGAUGAGAGACGAAAGCUAGGGUAGCGAAACGG